rnacentral:lncRNA from 10 species
AGUGGUCUACAGCAGUUACACACAGGCAGUGGUAUCUGUGAGCAGCUCUGUGGACUCAAAGGUUUUCUCCCUGAGAGGCAUGACCCAGGCCAGCUGAUUCAUCAGAAUCAGACGAUUGGCUCUUUCGUCUCCAUGGUGGCUUCGUAGAGUGGGUGCUGUUCCCAAAUGUCCCCAUUCGACAGAUGAGACGUCUGGGGUCAGAGAGGCAGUAACCGGCCUGGGAAUCCGGACAUGACCCUGAGUUUUGCUCUCAGCCCUGCCGUGUGCUGUGCUGGAAUUCAGGCCUGAACCCUGUGACCUCCCUGCCCUAGAUCCCAAAUCUGCCCAGGUUUCCCAUCCCGAUGGGGCAGAGCCUGGUCCUGGCAGAGCCACUGGUAUAGAGCCACUGGUACAGAUCCACUGACGGUCCUCAGAACACCUCUGUGCCCUAAGCUGGGUCCUGAUGGUCGCUGUGGGCCCCACUGAACACACAUGGUCCCUUGUCCGGGGGAGCCUGCUGCCCUUGGGCAGCUGUGGAAAAUGAAGGAGCCCUGGAGGGCUGGCUGAGGGGAGACUAUCUUCCCUUGUGUUCAAAGGGG